rnacentral:rRNA from 1 species
UCUAGGCAUGCAGUCGAACGAGAUCGCUUUCUUCGGAAAGCAUAUAUCUAGUGGCAGACGGCUGAGUAACGCGUAAGUAACUUACCCUUGAGUGGGGAAUAACACAGAGAAAUCUGUGCUAAUACCGCAUACGAUUUAUUAAUAAUUUUUAUAAAUGAAAGAUUUAUCGCUCUUGGAUGGGCUUGCGUCCUAUCAGGUUGUUGGCGGGGUAAUGGCCCACCAAGCCUAAGACGGGUAGCUGGUGUGAGAGCACGACCAGCCAGAGGGGGACUGAGACACGGCCCCCACUCCUACGGGAGGCAGCAGCUAAGAAUAUUGCACAAUGGACGAAAGUCUGAUGCAGCGACACCGCGUGAAGGAUGAAGGCCCUAGGGUUGUAAACUUCUUUUAUUAGGGAAUAGCAAGGAAGGUACCUAAUGAAUAAGCAACGGCUAACUACGUGCCAGCAGCCGCGGUAAUACGUAGGUUGCAAACGUUGUCCGGAAUCACUGGGCGUAAAGGGUCCGUAGGCGGUUUGAUAAGUCUCAUAUGAAAGCUUCAAGCUCAACUUGGAGAUGUUGUGAGAUACUGUCAGACUAGAGACUGUUAGAGGUAAGUGGAAUUCCAGGUGUAGUGGUGAAAUGCGUAGAUAUCUGGAGGAACACCAGUGGCGAAAGCGACUUACUGGGACAGUUCUGACGCUAAGGGACGAAAGCGUGGGGAGCGAACCGGAUUAGAUACCCGGGUAGUCCACGCUGUAAACGAUGAUUGCUAGGUUUUCGGGGCAUCGACCCCUCGUGAGCCGAAGUUAACGCGUUAAGCAAUCC